CUUGCGGCCGUAUCAUGUUGAAACACUGGUUCUCGUACGAUCACCGAAGUUAAGUAACAACCAACCUGGUCAGUACCUAGAUGGGUGACCGCCUAGAAAUACCAGGUACUGUAAG